rnacentral:piRNA from 1 species
UAGACUUUACGUAGAAUAUUGAAUGUAGGU